UACGGAGGGUGUAAGCGUUAAUCGGAAUUACUGGGCGUAAAGCGUGCGCAGGCGGUUUGUUAAGUCUGCUGUGAAAUCCCCGAGCUCAACUUGGGAAUUGCAGUGGAUACUGGCAGGCUGGAGUAUGGUAGAGGAAGGUGGAAUUCCCGGUGUAGCAGUGAAAUGCGUAGAGAUCGGGAGGAACACCAGUGGCGAAGGCGGCCUUCUGGACCAAUACUGACGCUCAUGCACGAAAGCGUGGGGAGCAAACAGG
rnacentral:rRNA from 1 species